AGAGUUUGAUCCUGGCUCAGGACGAACGCUGGCGGCGUGCCUAACACAUGCAAGUCCAGCGAAGUAGGAUGUGUUCUUCGGAAUGCGUUNCUACUUAGCGGCGGACGGGUGAGUAACGCGUGAGGAACCUGCCUCUCACAGAGGGAUAGCCUCGGGAAACUGAGGGUCAUACCUCAUGAGACUUAUGUACCGCAUGGUAUAUAAGUUAAAGCGAUUUAGCGGUGAGAGAUGGCCUCGCGUCCCAUUAGCUAGUUGGUGAGGUAACGGCUCACCAAGGCGACGAUGGGUAGCCGGCCUGAGAGGGUGGACGGCCACACUGGAACUGAGACACGGUCCAGACUCCUACGGGAGGCAGCAGUGGGGGAUAUUGCACAAUGGGGGAAACCCUGAUGCAGCGACGCCGCGUGAGCGAAGAAGGCCUUCGGGUCGUAAAGCUCUGU
rnacentral:rRNA from 1 species